rnacentral:lncRNA from 1 species
UUUGAGUAUAGGACUAAUAUUUUCAGUAUUUCUUAAGGGACUGCAGUCCUGCCAACAUAAAUGUUUAAGGAAAGGCAGGAAAAUGCAGAUGCCAUGAAUUUUCAAUAAUAUUCAGGAAACCAUGUUUUAGGUAGAUUAUUGCUUCAAAAAUACUGGAAAGUCUUAUUUUUUUUCUGUAGCAGAAAUUCCCCAGGUAGAGCUAGAAAACUUGAUCUCCCUUUCCCAGAAUAUCAACUAAAGAAAGUGACAUAAUUUGAUGCAUUUCCAAGCAUUUACUUUUAUUUGCUCCCAUGGAGUGCCAGGAAAGACAACAGAAAAUAAAACUCUAAUCACUCAACUGUCUCCAGCUUGUGAGAUCACAUGCAACUGUAUCAGUGAAACAUACACAUCGAAUAUAAAGAGCCUAAAUUUAUAUCAAUAUUAUACAAUAUGUGAAUAAUAUAAAGGUAUGUAGCUAUUUCUGUGCUACUAGAUUGUUUUUAUGAGAAAGCAUUCUGGUGACUAUGAUGAACCCUUCAUUAAACAAGCUGAAAGAAAUCCUCUUAGUGUGUCCUCUCUCAGCUGGGCCUCAUGACACUCACACCUGACUCACACCUGACAGCAUGGUUUAGGAUAACAGGAAACA